AUGGUAUUUAGUUUAAAACAAAAUAAAUGAUUUCGACUCAUUAGACUAUGAUUAAAUUCAUAAUUACCAA
rnacentral:tRNA from 1 species